UGAGAACUACAAGAAAGUUCCCAGUGGGUUCGGCUGCCGACUUCGCCGACUCACCCACUAGGUCUACUCAGGCAUAUGUAGGCAAGAAAAGUAAGCAAAUAGUAACCAACUAUAACAUGUAACUACUACAAUGCCUGUACAAAGCUGAAAGAAGUAAUAUAUGAAAACUGUAAAUAUGCAUGGAUGCUUUUCAUUAACUUUACCCAAUCUUUUGGUUAACCCUCUGGUUAACAGCUGGACAAGUACGUUAGUCCUGGGGCAAGUACGUUAGCCCAUAAAUUUACCCAAUUCAGUGGUUAACCCUUUGGUUAACAAUAACUCACCAACGAAAUCCCUCACGGGCCCUAAGCUGCCUCCCGAUGGGACCGUCUGUCGGACAAGUACGUUAGUCCUGGGGCAAGUACGUUAGCCCAACAAGUGACUACUCCGGAGCUCACUGCCUGGGGGGAGCGACCACCACCAAGCUAAGAAAACAGACUAUGUGAGUAAGAUCUGAUCCCCCUUUAGAGGAUUCAACUGACAACAAUGUCACAAUUUAACUCUAACUAGUUCUUUAUACUAGUUUCAUAAUUACAUUUCUCGAUGCUAACCAAAUCUCUAGUCAUGAUGUCACCAAGUUUACUAUUGUCUUGGUUCUUUACAGUUUCAUACAUUCAUAGGGUUCUAUAUCCACAUUCUAAUGUUCAUAUGUAAGAUCUGGUCCUCCUUUAGAGGAUUCAAUAACUGACAAUACUACAAGUUAACCUCUAACUAGCUCUUUAUGCUAGUUUCACAAUUUCACUGUUUAUCUCACAAUGCUAUCCAAUUCUCUAGUUAGAAUGUCACCAAGUUCACUAUUGUCAAAGUCCAUGCAUUCAUAGGGUUCUAUGUCCACAAUCUAAGGUUCACAAAUUCUUAUUGUUGAUAGGAAUUCACAUUUUCACUCGCUCAAUGCCAAACACCCUAUAAUGCAUGACUACAAAUAUAAAUAUGCUCAACGAAGAAUCAUAGACAUAAAAGGUGAUUCAAAGACUUCGGAUAGCACCACCCACCUGUCUUUGAUGCCGGAAUGGGAGAAAUGCGCUUCUAGCGCUUUCCCGAGAAUCGCGACCCGCGCUCGCGACUUUCGACGCCGAAAAUCUUCUUUUGGCGAUAUCUUCGCGUAGGAGCGUCGGAUUGCCGAACCGACUUCGCCAGCGCGUUUCUUUUAUCCCCAAUUAGGUUUACACGCGGUCAAUUUCACUUUAGGGCUUCUAUCCUGCAAAAGUGCAUUGUCGAGUCAGUUUCUCAAAAACCCCGAUUUCAAUGCAAUUUUACAUGUAAAUAGCAUAUUUCAACUCUUUCUUCGUCCAAGGAUCUCAGAUCAGUUAUUAAAAACUGUACAAAUGCUUCGAUUCCACUUUUCUCUCCAUUCUAUUAUCUUUCUUUCAUUUUUUCCUCUUCUUCUUUCUUUUCUUUCUUUCUCUUUUCUUUCUUUCUUGCUUUCUUUUCUUUUCCUUCCUUUCUUUCUUUUCUUUCUUUCUCUUUUCUUUCCUUUCUUUUCUUUCUUUUCUUUCUUUCUUUCUUUUCUUCCUUUCUUUCUUUUCUUUCUUUCUCUUUUCUUUCCUUGCUUGCUGCCCCUGCAGGGCAGCAGCUGCUGCUGCUUGCACUGCUGCUGCUGCUGCUGGUGCAUGCUGCUGCUGCUGCUGCUGGCAGCAGCUGGCUGAGCUGCUGCUGCUGCAGCAGCUUGCUGCUGCUGCGGAGGCUGCUGCUGCUGCUAGCUGCAGCUGCUGCUGCUGCUAAUGCUGCUUGCUGCUGCUGCUGAUGCUGCUGCUGCUUGCUGCUGCUGCUGAAGCUGCUGCUGCUGAAGCUGCUGCUGCUGCUGCUGAAGCUGCUGCUGCUUGCUGCUGCUGCUGGUGCCACUGCUGCUGCUGCUAACUGCAGCUGCUGCUGCUGCUAGCUGCAGCUGCUGCUGCUGAUGCUACUUGCUGCUGCUGCUGAGCAAGCUGCUGCUGCAGCUUGCUGCUGUUCCUGCUCACAGCAGCAGCAAGGGCUGCUGCUGCUGCUGCGACUACUAAUAGCAGAGAGAGGGGUGAGAGGGAGAGAUAUAUUUACCUUUUUUUCUUUUUCUUCUUCUCUUUCUCCUUUCUCUUCUUCUUCUCCUUCUUUUCUCCUUCUCUCUCUCUCUCUACGUAUGCAGCAAGAAGAGGGGAUAAGGAUGGAGGGGGCUGCCUGGCAGGUUUAGUGGAAUUCCACUAAGCCAUAUGAAAAUUACCAUUUUGCCCCUCGACUUAUCCGUUUAGCCGCGCGGAUCAAAUACCUUUCGCAGGCCCUUCCGAAAGUCCGAUUGAGCUCAAAUUUGACAGGAAUGCUCGUUUUUACUUAACAAGUCCACUGAAAUUUUAACAUUUCAGUUUCGACCCCGUUUGGUUACUGCGAACUGUCCCGAACUGUAAUCUUCAUCAGAUAACUUUCGGAUGCUAUUUCUCUCUCUACAGGUGUCAGAAUAAUGUGAAACUUGAAAUCUGGCCUCAUACCAAUGUUCCUGACAUCUCCGCCAAUUUUCAUAAUUUUCUGACACUGUGCAUUUUCUACUAAUUUCUCAGUCCCGUUCUUUACAGAAAAUUCCAGUUCUUCUGUUUUCGCUCCGAUUUCGGCACGAGUCAUUCCAGACUAACUUGGGUACUCCAUAAAUUAUCUCCGAGCCUCGCUUUAACUCUUUUAAUCAAAGUUAGCGUCAGAAUUCCGAAAAUUCUAUUUACAUUUCGUUUCGCGCCCAAUUUGCGCCGAAACACUUAUUUAUCAUCGGAAUUCAUUCUCACGCGUCCAAAAUCACUCGGGGAAGACGUCCAACUAGCUCAAUCCUCACUUUGAUCCAAUAGAUCAAAGUUGACAUUGCAGCUUCAGGAUGCCAUAUAUUACACGCCCAAUCCUGCACAGGCGAGCAUGUGUCACAAUGGCUAUCUCCGGAGUGCCGGCUUGUGGGGAGUGACUCUCACAAGCAUAUGCGAAUGAGUACAAUGGCAAGCCAGCGUGUAAGUCCGUCACAAAUCCAAUGUCAUCAUGUCUAAAACAUGGAAUACAGUCAAUGUCUCAAUGACCUAUCACUAAGUCAUCAUGUUGUAGUUUAACCGUUUACUAGGUUGAGUGCCCCUUUAUGGCACUUUUGUCCACUAUGUCCCAACAUGAGUUUUGUGUCCAAGAGCACAUAAUUCUAGUCAUUUACAUUAUAUGAAAUAUGAGCCCAAGUCUUAAGAUAGAAUGCUACCCACAUGCAUGUCUACAGUGCACAAGUCUCUCUACUACAUAGAGGCGAUUUUUCAAGAUGCAUAACAUAAAGAUUUUAAGCAUUCUAAAAUUCACAUAAAUGCUAUCUAGCAUGAAUAUGAAUAUGCAUGAAUUGCUAUUUUACGACAACCAAAAAUAACAUAGGAGGAUUUUCUCCCAUAUUCAAUGAAGUCAAACCCGCCGAAACUCUUAACCGCCCUUCAUUUGUGCCGACAAAGGUGCUCGCUACUCUCCUAGCACCCUAAAGGUAAUGAAAAGAGAGAUACACGAACGUUACGAACACUAGCGAGCUCAAACAUUAACUAUCUCAAGAAAAAAGCUGAAAACGCACCUAUAAAGAAGAAACCCUCUCUUAAUCUCAAAAUGGGAGUUAGAGUCCUUCUAAUCCAACCUAUACAAAGGUUCUAAACCAAUCAAUUAGGAUCCAAAAGCCUCUAAUCAAAAUUCCCCAUUUUAAACCCUAAGUCUUCAUUUAUAGGGUUACUACUCAAAAACCAUGAAAAUCAUGAUCAAAAGAGGAGUAAGCAACUAACCUCUCUAGAAGCUCCAAAUUAGGCUCAAGAUCCACUAAAGUUGAGAUCCUUCCCUCAAGCAAACUCCAAUUCCUUCUCCAAUGCUUCUCCAAUGGUGAAGAGAUCACCAAAAGCCAAAAGAAGCAAAAGAGGAGAUCAAUCCUCAAAAAAAAUCCCAACAAAAGAGAGGGAAAUACUAAGGAAAAUGGAGAGGGGACUCACCUCUCCUCUUCUCUGUUGCAGCACAAAAACCUCAGCCAAGAGGUGUAGGGGAUUAUAAGGUAUUGCAACAAUUACAAAGAGAUCCUUCAAAAACUGUCAGGCUGCAGUUUGCAUCGUGUACCGGUACACGGUAAAGUGUACCGGUACAAACCCGCAGUACGCGCAAACUAGAGGCUCGGGUUGGCAGAAAAUCCCAUCUGUACCGGUACACUUCCGAUGUUGUACCGGUACAGCCAACUGUUCCGGUACAACCUUGAUGGUGCAGAGUGCAAUCCGAGAGCAGCCUAAGUUCUCCUCUUUGGGGACCUUAGCCCUAAGUUAAAAACCACAACUCUUGGGAUGCGAGUCAUAGGUCGGAAUACUGUCAACGACAUUUAAAAGUGUCGUUAAAAGUGUCGGUAAUUUAGCCAGCAACACUUUUUUUUACCUGUACUGACAUUUAAAAGUGUCGCUGUAGACCAUUUUUGUUGUAGUGCCAGAAAAUCUGGAAAAACUCAGAACACAGAUCAAACACUGGAACCCCGCAAUUUGCAAAGAUCCAGUGUGUUACAUUCACCCCUCCUAAAAAGGAGUUUCGUCCGCGAAACUCAGAAGCAACGCACCUCAAGGCUCCAUCCGAAAAGAUGGGGAUAAUGCUCCUGCAAAGUGCUCUCUAGCUCCCACGUGGCCUCCCACUCCUCGUGGUUGCUCCAAAGAACCUUCACAUACAGAAUAUCCCGAUUCCGCAGCUUUUUCACAUCGCGAACCAAAAUCCUCACGGGUUGCUCCUUAAAGCUCAAGUCCUCUCUCAGCUCUACUGGUAUAACAUCCAAAACAUGAGCUGGAUCGUAAACAUACUUCCGGAGGACCGAUACAUGAAAGACAGUGUGUACACCCGAUAGGUUCGGUGGUAGAGUAAGUCGAUAUGCUACCGGAUCUACACGCUCCAAAAUCUCGUAGGAUCCAAUAAACCGGGGCUCAACUUUCCCCGAAUUCUAAAUCUUCUAAUUCCUCUAGUCGGCGAGAUCUUCAAGAAAACAUGGACUCCAACUUGGAACUCCAAGUCUCGCCGUUGUCGAUCGGCGUAGCUCCUCUUUCUAUUCUGAGCCGUCAACAAUCGCUCUUGAGCAAUCCGAACCUUGUCUUCAGCUUCCUAGAGCACAUUUAGGCAUAGGGCCAAUCUCUGGUCAACUUCACUCCAAUGAAGUGGCGAUCUGCACUUCCAUCCAUACAGUGCUUCGAAGGGCGCCAUCUUGAUUCUUGCUUGAUAACUAUUGUUAUAAGCAAACUCCACCAUCGGUAGAUGCUGCGACCAUCCUCCCUGGAAGUCUAUCACACAUGCCCGGAGCAUAUCCUCUAAGGUCUGUAUAGUGCGCUCUGACUACCCGUCACUCUAAGGGUAAAAGCUGGACUGAAAUUCAAGCGCGUACCCAAGGUAUCCUGUAGGCUCCUCCAAAAGUGAGAUACAAACUGGGGGUCUCGACCUGAUACUAUAGAAGUAAGUACCCCGUGCAAUCGCACAAUCUCAUUAAGAUAUACCUGUGCGAGUCUCUCACCAGUCCAAGUCGUAUGAAUAGGUAUGAAAUGCGCCGAUUUUGUCAACCUAUCCACGAUCACCUAUAUAACAUCAUGCCCGGCCUAAGAGUGAAGCAAUUCCAUCACGAAGUCUAUGGUGAUCUUCUCCCACUUCCACACGGGAAUAGGCAAACUCUGAAGUUUUUCCGCGGGUAAUCGGUGCUCAGCCUUUACUUGUUGGCAAGUUAAACAUCGAGCCACAAACUCGCCAACAUCCUUUUUCAUUUCGGGCCACCAAUAAAGUAGCUUCAAAUCCUUGUACAUCUUGGUGCCUCCCGGAUGUAUAGCAUAGGGUGUCUGGUGUGCUUCUUGAAGGAUGUCCUCUUUAAUUCCCACAUCCACCGGUACAUAAAACCGUCCACAAAAGCGCAUCACUCCUUGGUCAUCCACAAGGAAAUCACCGGUGCAACCAUCAACCAUUUUAUCCCGAAUCUUUUGCAACUCCACAUCGUGAACUUGCUUUUCUUUAAUUCUAUCCAAUAGUGUAGGUUGCACUACCAAGGCCAUUAACCUCAAGGGUGUAUCAGGAGCCAACACCUCUAACUCCAACCGCUUCAUCUGCUCGACCAACGGCGGUUGAGUAACAAUGAGCAUAGCUAAGUUUUCCGUCGAUUUCCGACUUAGCGCAUCCGCCAUCACGUUAGCCUUGCCCGGGUGGUAAAGUAUCGUCAAAUCAUAAUCCUUGAGUAGCUCCAACCAUCUGCGCUGCCUCAAGUUCAGCUCCUUCUGAGUGAAUAGAUACUUUAAUCUCUUGUGAUCCGUAUACACUUCACACUGCUCGCCAUAAAGAUUGUGGCACUAUAGCUUCAAUGCAAAGACUACAGCCGCCAAAUCCAAAUCGUGAGUAGAAUAGUUUCUCUCAUAUUUCUUCAAUUGGCGAGAAGCAUACGCGAUCACCUUGCCAUCCUGCAUCAAAACACAACCCAAUCCAUUAAAAGAAGCAUCACUAUAAACUCCGUACCCUGCUCGAGUAACCGGCAGGGUUAGGAUCGGGGCGGUCGUCAAUCGAGUCUUCAACUCUUGAAAGCUUCUCUCACACGCAUCAUUCCAAAUGAAUUUGGUGCCUUUAUGCGUAAGCCUCGUGAGGGGAGUAGAUAACUUUGCAAAUCCCUCAAUAAACCUCCGGUAGUAACUUGCGAAACCAAGGAAACUCUGGAUCUCCGUAACACUCGUCGGUCUAGGCCAAUCCUUGAUUGCUUCAAUCUUCCUAGGAUCCACGGCUAUACCCGAUUCCGAAAUCAAAUGUCCAAGGAAUGCCACUUCUCGAAGCCAAAAUUCACACUUUUUCAACUCGGCAUAGAGUUUCCGUUCCCGAAGUACUUGAAGUACAAGCCUUAAAUGUUCCUCAUGAUCUGCCUCACUACGGGAAUAAACCAAGAUAUCGUCGAUAAACACCACGACGAACCUGUCUAGAUAAGGCUUAAAAACACGGUUCAUUAGAUCCAUAAAAACUGCCGGGACAUUAGUAAGCCCGAACGGUAUAAUAGUGAACUCAUAGUGUCCAUACUGUGUUCUAAAAGCCAUCUUCGAUAUAUCCUCGGGCUUGAUCUUUAAUUGGUAGUAUUUCGACUGCAAGUUGAUCUUGGAAUACACACUUGAUCCCUGAAGCUGAUCAAACAGGUUGUCGAAUCCUUGGCAACGGAUACUUUUUCUUGAUCGUGACUUUAUUAAGUUCACGAUAAUCCAUACAUAGGCGAAGUGAUCCAUCCUUCUUCUUAACGAAUAAAACUGGUGCUCCCUAAGACGAGAAGCUCAGUCGAAUGAAACCUUUAUCCAAAAGAUCCUGCAGCUGUGCCCUCAGCUUUUUCAACUCUGCAGGUGCCAUCCUAUAGGGCGCCUUUGAGAUUGGAGUAGUCCCAGGGACAAGAUCUACUAUAAACUCGAUCUCCCAAUCAGGUGGCAUACCUGGUAGCUCAGCUGGAAACACAUCACAAAACUCCCGCACCACCGGGAUAUCCUCAAUCCUAGGGGCAUCAUUCUCUCCCCUCAGCACAAUACUAGCCAAAUAGGCUACGCAACCUCUGCUGAUCAGCUGCCUAGCUCGAGACGAGCUAAUCGUCAUCGCAAACAGUGAACUUCGGCAUCCUCUAAAUACCACUUCAGUCUGCCCCGGUUCUCUAAAAGUAACCGUUCGAUCCUUACAAUCGAUAGUGGCAAAAUACUUCGUCAACCAAUCCAUACCCAGAACCACAUCAAACUCCCCCAGCUUGCGAAAAGCUAGCAGGUCCACGGGCAUAAUCCAAUCCCCUACCCGAACAAGGCAACUGGGGCAAAACUCUCGAAUAUACAAGAUGUGAUCUGGUACAACAACAUGUCCCAAAUGCAACAAAGGAACCAACUAGAUGCCAUGCAAUUCGGCGAACAGCCGAUCAGUGAAUGAAUGUGAUGCACCAGUAUCAAAUAAUGCACGAACUCGAAUGCCAUUUAAUAAAAUGAUACCUGCUACCACAUCCUUGGCUGCUGCCACCUCCUCGGUCUGAGCAGCAUACAAACGCCCACUCGGGGCCUAGCGUGACCCCUCACUCUGGCGCAGGACGGGUGGCCGCCGAGGCUGGUACUGUGCCGACGGAGUCCCCUGACUGGCAGCUGGUAGAGCCGGUGCCGAUGCAGUCGAUGGUGCUGGUGACGAUCUCCUCGGGCACUCAGUCCGGAAGUGGCCCUCCUAGCCACACAGGAAACACCGACCGCCCCGCUACGGACACUGUGGUGGAAUAUGGGGACUACCACAAAUCACGCACUGGGAGGUCGGCGACGAUCAGAACCUCCUCGCUGCGCCGACGAGCCGCGACCACGCUGCUGGCUUCUAAGGUACUUCGGCGGCCUCCUAAAGUGCGUCUGACUGGCACACUCAGCCGUAGGCCUCUUGCCCUUACCCUUGUCGAAUCCUUCUCUCCGCUCCUGAACAUCCGCCGCACCGCUCUCCAUGAUGAGCACGCGGUUCACCACCUUCCGGUAGGUUUGGAGGUUAGAGGAUUGCACGAACCGGAAGAUCGACGGUCGCAGUCCCCGCUCAAAGAUGCGUGCCUUGUCCUCGUCGUCCCGUACGACGAAAGGCACGCAAUGUAGGAGCCAAGAAAACUCCCUCUCAAACUCGGCUACGGUCUAGUCUCCUUGGCGCAAGUUGCGCAAAUCCUGCUCCAUCUUCCGCUUGACACUAUCGGGGAAGUAAUGCGCCAAAAGAAGCUCCUUGAACUUCUUCCAGGUAAUCGCCGAAAGGUCAGUAUUGGGGUUGUCUUGGAUAUACAACCACCAACGAUAGGCCUCGCCGUCUAGGUGGUGAGUAGCGAGCCAAACUCGAUCCCUCUCCUCCACGAAGGUGUCGCGGAAGAGCUUCUCCAUAUGCAUCAACCACUUCUCCACGAUCCAGUAGUCGACUUUCUCGCCGUCGAAGACUCGGGGACUGCACCUCCUGAACUCAUUGAAACGAUCCAUGAGUCGGUCCCGCUCUGCUCCCUGAACUAAUAUGGAAAAAACUGCCCCUGCUAGAGGCAUCUGAGCUGGUGGUGCCGCGACUACCUCCUCCCGAGGCGCAUCCGCAGGUGCCGUCUGCGAAGUGUCGAGUGCAGGGGACGACACUCUGGGUGCAACCACCUCCACCGGCACGGGUGGUGUAGGAACCUGAGCCUCCCUGGAAACUGCCUGCUGCAGAAGGAGGUCCUCGAGCCACUUCAUCCGCGCCUCCUGCCAGCGUGCCGCAUCUAUCUGCUACUGAGCCGCCGCGGUCUGCUGUGCAACCAAGUUGGUGGGGACCGCAAGCUAGCUCCUCAACUCACGGACCUCGCUGGAUCCGGAGGUAGUGGAGGUCUUCACCUCCUCAAGAUUUGCCGCAUUGUCCGCUCCAACAGACUCAGAGCGAGUAAUCGGCAUCGUCACUACAACAUUAUAAAAGCGCAAGUUAGCAAAAACCAACGCUAUUGCAACCCCGUUCGACAGAUAAUACCCAAAUCAUGCGAAAGUAAUGAAAUGUCCUCUACUACUAACUCCCGAUGUUACAUUGUCGGCCGCCAACGUAACCCUCCGUGGAGUUAGAAGCUAUACACUUCGAUUAAACUCCAACAUUUUUAGAGUUAUUAUAAAACCCAAUCUUAAUACUUUCACUUACAUGUCAAAUAGACUUCGUAUCUCACGAGCUUCUUUCCUAUUGUCCAACCGGCCUAAGGUUUGCUAGGUGCACUAAGACUCAACCCUAGGCUCUGAUGCCAACUUAAUCUGUCACGCCCCGGGACCUAGCGGAAGUCCGCCCGGCGCGUGUCCAGACCCGCCAUACGUCUGCAACAUAUAAGGCGUCUGUAACAAAAUGAUAAAUAAAGCAAUAAUAUAUAAAGAUCUAGAGACAUCAGAGCAUACAACAUCUAGAUUCUAGGAUAAGAAGGUAAACAAGAGCUAAAAUCCACUAAGAAAGAACCAUAAAGUGAUACAAUAGGAACCCAAAAUACAAGUGCUAAAAGUAUAACAAUGGUGUUCUCUAUACAUGGUAGCAAACUCUCCCUCAGAACAAAAUACAAAAAGAGGGAACCACCUAAAGCAAAAGGCGAACUCCACGCUAUCUAGUUAGCGAUCCCCUUGCCACGGUCCUGUGCCUCCACCGGUGUAGAGGGCUCUGAAAGAAAACCAUAAAAUAGGGGCAUGAGAACUAUUAGAUAAUAGUUCCCAGUGGGUAAUUACUGACUUCAGUGAAAAGCACCACUAGGCCCAAAACCAAAGGAUGUAAGUGAAAAUAUAUAAACGAUAUGAACAACAAGUAUUUAAACAUGAAUAACUUGCUAAACCUUUAAGUCUAUACUUAGCAUGAAUUUACAUUUUGGUUCGACUUGUUCCAAGUCACAUAGGACCUACCCGUGGGUAGUCCGGCUUGCGCCGUGCCUAAUGGCCCCGUGGUGGUCAACAUUCCCACUCUAGGAAUGAGCCUCCCCCACGGCAUCCCAUUUCUGCGCCCAAUCCCGCACGGGCGAGCAUGUGUCGCAAUGACUAUCUCCAGAGUGCCGGCUUGUGAGGAGCGACCCUCACAAGCAUGUGCGAAUGAGUACAAUGGCAAGCAAGCGUGUAAGUCCGUCACAAAUCCAAUGUCAUCAUGUCUAAAAUAUAGAAUACAGUCGAUGUCUCAAUGACCUAUCACUAAGUCAUCAUAUUGCAGUUUAGCCAUUUACUAGGUUAAGUGCCCUUAUAUGCAAAGCUGAGGAAGUGCGACUUUUGGCUUCGAGAGGUUGCAUUUCUAAGGCAUGUUAUUUCUGAGGGUGGUGUUUCUGUUGACCCGAGGAAAGUGGAGGCGAUUAAAGAUUGGCCACGCCCGACUAAUGUCACGGAGGUCCGAAGCUUCGUGGGCCUGGCAGGCUAUUAUAGACGGUUCGUGGAGGGCUUCUCGAAGAUAGUUAUUCCUCUUACCCGUCUAACUCAGAAGGGCACCAAGUUUGUUUGGAGAGAGGAAUGCGACCGGAGUUUCAAUGAGUUGAAGGAGAAAUUGACUUCGACUCCGGUGCUUACUUUACCAGUGCCAGGUAAGGACUUUGUGGUUUACAGUGACGCGUCUUAUUCAGGAUUAGGGUGUGUUCUGAUGCAAGAUGGAAAAGUGAUCGCAUAUGCGUCCCGUCAAUUGAAGAGCUACGAGAAGAACUACCAUGUCCACGACUUGGAGUUAGCCGCGGUGGUAUUUGCUCUCAAGUUGUUGAGGCAUUACUUGUACGGCGUACGCUGCAAAGUGUAUACUGACCACAAGAGUCUGAAGUAUUUGUUCACACAGAAGGAGCUGAACAUGCGACAACGGCGGUUGUUGGAGCUGCUAAAGGAUUAUAAUCUUGAUAUUCUCUACCACCCCGGGAAGGCAAAUGUAGUCGCUGAUGCACUCAGUUGAAAGUCGGCGGAGAACCCCACGAUGCGGGUCACGAAUCAGGAGCCCCUACGGAAAGAAACGGGACGGAUUGGUCUCGAGGUUGUAGCUCCGGAGAUUCCGGCUAUGUUGUCAACUCUCGUUGUCCAACCUGAAAGUUUUGAGGAGCCCAAGGAUCUAUCUAGAUUGUAUCUAUCACCUAGAGGGGGGUGAAUAGGUGAACGACCAAAAACCACAAAUCUCGAUGCAAUAAAAAUAAAUACGGAAAAUAAAAAGCACACCGAGAUUUACGUGGGAAAACUCCAACUUGGAGAAAAACCCACGGGACCAACACGCGAAAAAAUAAUUCACUAAGAGAAAAGAUUACAAGGUGAUUACCGACUCCACGGACUCAACCUCUCUUAACCUCCUAUGAAUCUUCGCGCUACCCUCCGGGUUGUCCACGCCCUCACGUCCGAAUCCACGAACGCCUCCACUUCGAAUCCACGAAGCUUCAAUCACGCCGAAUCCACGACGCCACUCGAAUCCACGAGCCAACGAUCCGAAUCCACGAACCGCCUUUGUUCACGCCGAAUCCACGACGCCGUUCAUGAAGAAUAUCAUGAUUAUGGUGAUCCUUCGCUUAGGAGUAUCGUAGAAAACCAGGGAAUAGAACUCCAAGCGAAGCGGAGAUCAAAUCGACAUAUUAAUAUCAAAUUUCAAUAUCUCGAUUUGAUCUAAAAGAGGCUUUUUGUAGAAAAUAGAUUUUUGAUGAAAUCCGAGCCUCUAGGGUUUCUCAAAUAUGUAUUCUUAUGAUGCUUAAUGUGUUAGAGAAGCCCAAUAGCUUAUUUAUAGAUUUUAGAAUCAAUUGGAGUCGGAUUAGAAAGAUUUCACGAUUUUACACUGUGUACCGGUACACUUUAGGCUGUCACCGGUUACACAAUGACGGAACGAAAAUCCUGACGAAACAGUGAAACCGGUUACAUCCUUGAUGGUCGUACCGGUACACAUUUUGUAUCGGUACACUUCUGAUGCUGUACCGGUACACUUUGCAAAUUUCUGUCGUUUCGGGUUUUGCAAAGUUCCGAUGCACUUUCUAAUCCGUUAGACAUUGGUAACAUGAUUCUAAUGUCUACAACUAAGUAUGAAUCACCAUAACAUGAAUUUAUACUUUACCUGAGCAUCGCGAUUCACGUCGUGAGACAUUUUCUGACUUCUUCGAAAUCUUGAAUUCUUGAAUUUUUCGAUCUUCGACGAUACGCACCAGUUCUUCAAAACUCCGACUUACUUCACGAAAUUUGCCAAUACACAAGACUUAACAAUCUCCCCCUUUGGCAAUUUCGUGACAAAACACACACCAAUUCAAAAUUACAAUUUACAGAAAAAUGAAGUUCAAUUGUCAUCACCAAAACAUUGAACUCCUCGCGUGUAAUCCAAAUACAGUUUGAAACUCAAAAUUACAUCAAAACUCCUAAAACAGACUCUAUGACUUAGACGCAACUAGGAGUCUUGAAGUCUUGAUUUCCUGCAAAACACUUCAUUCAAAAAUGAUUAGCACUAAAUUCUUAUACCUUCUCCCCCUUCGUUCACAUCUCCUCCUUUGUUCUUGAACUUAUCAUCCUCUGAUUCAGUUCAAAGCCUGUUUUAUCCAUGCUCUCCCCCUUCAUCUAUGCUCUCCCCCUUUUUAUCAAAAAUUGCCAAAAGAAAGCAAAUAGAAAGAGAAAACAUACUAGAAAAAUAUGAGAGUAGUCUAGUCAUAGCUACAGGCCUAAACGAAAGUAAAAACAUACUACAGAAAGAUAAGCAAGCAAAUCUAAAACAUCGUCCUAGAAAGUAAGCAUAAUAAAGUAACAAGACGAAGCCCGAGGAAGACAUCACUCUGUGUCCUCCUCAUCACCAUCAUCAUCAUCAUCUCCUGCUCCAGCUCCAGAUCCCCCAGCCUCAGGAGCAUCACCAGACGGUGGAAUGAGAGGAUGUCGUGAAGUCGAUCUAGUAUACGUGGAGGAAGCAGGCUGAGGAGGGAAAAUGUCAUCAUGCUUACAGCCCAGUUUCUCCAUCAUUCUUUUCAUUCCCAUUUCCACCUUUCUCGCAAGAUCAGCCAAUUUCUUCUUCAUAGAGCGCACCUCGUGAUGAAGUGAUUCCACAGUAAUCACUCCUCCUGAACUAGAAGACCCCUCGUGUGCUGCUCUAGGUGGAGGUGCUGAACUAGUAGCUCCUCUGGAGGAUCCUUUGGUUUGCUGAAACGUCUUCAAUGUGCUCCUUGACUUUGCCCAAGUUACAACAUCAAUAGGUCCAAGUCCAAAAUCAUACUUCUCAGAUAACACGUCAACACCAUUUUCCUGAAGAAUCCUCGUGAUCAACAACGGAAACGGAAGAAGAUCACGGCGGACCUGAGAUUGUAUGACAUGAACCAUUCGUUGCCACAUAAGAAAAGGAAUAUUGAUAUUCAAUCCUCUUGCUUCUCCAGGAUGUCCAAGAAGAUACAGAAGCACAAGACGAUCCCACCGAAUUCUUUUCGUUCCAAUUGUAGGUUGAACGUUGUAGCUCAUCACCAAUGACAGUAGAUGAUAUUCAGGUAGCAAANUUGAAUUCUUGAAUUUUUCGAUCUUCGACGAUACGCACCAGUUCUUCAAGACUCCGACUUACUUCACGAAAUUUGCCAAUACACAAGACUUAACAUAAACAUGUCGGAAAGAAAUUCGAUCCAAAUUGGGAAGGCCCAUAUAUGGUGGAAAAAGCCUAUGAAGGCGGCGCUUAUUAGUUAAUUGACGCCAAAGGUGAAAGACCAAUGCCACCUAUCAAUGGUCGUUUUCUAAAGAAAUAUUAUGCAUAAAAAAAAAAAAAUAAAUAAAUAAAUAAAGGGGGAAAUUGAAUUUGAGUUAUUGAGUGGUCCAAUUCAUCACUUAUUCAUGGGCCCAAUGAACUCUAUAAGAAGUACAAAGGCACCAAGCCCAAAUGUAAUUCGGGCCCAUAACUUAUACAACCUGAAAUCCAACUUACAUACAAAUUUGGGCCCAGGAUAUUAAAGCUCGAAAUUCAGCUCAGCCCACAAGUAGAUAUGGGCCUAGAUUAUAUAAAAUCCAAAAUCUAUCUCAGCCCACAUCCAGAUUGGGAUUCAAAAAAAAAAAAAAAAAGUGGUGUACAUGUUGUUUAGACAAUAUGGGUCACAUUGGACUUCAGGAAUAAAUUGUAGAAUUUUCAUCCCACGAGCAUCCAAAUGUAAUUUGAUCGCCAUGUCGUUAAACUGAGCAUUUAAUGUAAUUUGACCGCCAUGUUGUUAAACUGAGCAUCCAAAUGUAAUUUGACCGCCAUGUCGUUAAACUGAGCAUUUAAUGUAAUUUGACCGCCAUGUCGUUAAACUGAGCAUCUAAUGUAAUUCCACUGCCAUGUCAUUAAACUGAGCAUUCUAAUAUGAUUGCUAUGUUUUUAAAUUGAGCAUUGAAAAUUUAAUUUAGAUUAACCAUGUCUCUAAAUAUGGAUUUGAGCCACUAGCAUAUGAAAUAUUAACUGUGGCAAAUUAGGGAUCUUUGUUUUGAGAAAAUUCUUCGAGACCUAUAAAUAAAAGUCGGGAUAGAGUAUCUAUCUAGAAUUUAUUUAGAUGACAGAAUGCUAACCCAAUUCAGAGUUGGUUAUGCGUGGUGAUCGAGGCAAAAUAAACAAAGCCAUUCUCGCAAGAUGCAACACAAUAUAAAAAAGAUGAGGAGAUCAAAUACUCAAGCAUAAUCCAAAGCAUUCAAACUAUUGAGACUACAAAAUAUUGUUCCUUUUUAGUGACAAACAAAAAUAACAUUCGUGACAAACCAAAAUAACAAAGAGAAGAAAAGAAGAAGUCAAAUUUCAAAUAUUUGACGACGCUCCUCAAACAGUUCUAUUAAUUCUCGAAGACCAGUGGAUUCUUUAGAAUCAUUACAACCUUCAAUGGCUGCAGCAUGCUCCUUUUCUGCAUCAAUGACAUCCUUUUGCAGUUCUUCUUCAGUCGGUGUUAGUUUCUUUAAGGAGUCAUCAGCCACUUCGAGUCUAAGGGUCAAUUCCGCUUCUGUACUUUUCAAAUGCAAUAUACUUUCUUCUAGUUCUCUUAUUUUCUCUCUGGUUUGUUGAAGCUCUAAAGAGACACUUUCAGUAGCUUGAAGGAGAGAACUCUUUGCACUGAUGUGGGAAGCAAGUUUUCUUUUUCUUAGUGCCAGAUUCUCAUCAGCAUCCAUGAGUCGAACAGCUGAAAUAAAAUUUGGACUUGACUCUAGUUCUUCAAUGGCCUCUGCAUGGUCAAAUAUGGGUUUUAUACGCCUUUCCAAUUCAGAUAUAUCAAUUCCAAGUGAAGAUAAACAUUGGCAAUAUUUUGAUACUUCUUCUCGAGCUGAUCUAAAUUUGCGACGAUUGAAUGUCUUCAUAAUAUCCAUUAUGCGAUCAAUCAAAAAUGACUUGGCUACAAUAGGUAUCUCGCUUUGGGAAUCUCCUGUGCCACUAUCCAAAUGAAUACCGACAUUCUCGUCAAGUGGUACAUCCUAUAAAAAAAAGAAGAAAAGAAUAAAAAUGAGAAAGAAAAUGAGAAGAAAAAAUGUUUGAAUAUAUAAAGUCUCACCAUAUCAUUAUUUUCAAGAGCUUCAAGUGGUGAAGGUGUAGGCUCGUAGUCCACUUCGUCGCCGUAAGGCGAUAAAGCAUCUUCCGGAUCAUUAUUUGAUUUUGACUCUACCGGAAAACCUACGCACAAAAAAGAGAUAAUAAAAUAUAUAUAAGGAAUGCUUUCAUAGGGCAUACUGCCUUUUAUGUAUUAAAAGAAACUUUGACAAAAAAAAAAAAUGAGGCCUUACUAGUUGAUUUUAAAUCGGUCUCCAAACGAGCUCUCUUAUGCGCCUCUAUAGUCGAAAUAUUAACGACUCGUUCUCUUUUACCAAGUGAAGGUGAUUCUGUUAUAGCUUCUAUACUGUCAUCAUCUUCUUUAGCACCCUCAUCCUAAACAAUGGAGUUGCGGUGUAAAAGAAAUAGUAAAUACGCUUAAUGUAUGACUACGGGAGCGAUAUGACAUAAAACUUGGGACAAUUUUGAUAAAUACAUAGAUACCUCAUGAUGAGUCGGGCAAGCUUCCCUGAAAGAUGACACUCCAAUAUCUGCAACAUCUGUGAGUGGAUCCUGUGACAAAAAAGACUAUAUGCUGAUAUUCGGAGCAAAAUUGAAGACACAUGCUGCAGGGACUGUUUUGUAAAACAAAAAUAAGGAGUAUUAUAUAAAACGUGUUAUAACAUUUCCGUUGUAAUCCUAACUUAUGCAUUGUUACAGCCAUGAAUUCCUUGAGAGCAAUUUUAGACCAAAAAGAAAGACCGAGAAUAUAGAUUUGCAUCAAAAAAUCAAAGGAGAAUGAAGCUGCAGGGACUAAAAUGAAACAGCAGGGACUGUUUCGUAAAUAUAGGGACCAAAAUGUAAAUGGGCCAUAACAUUUUCGUUAUAGCUCCGAUUUACAAAAUUUUUGCGGCUACAGAUUUCUAGCGAAAAAUUACACAUUAUUAUCCAUAUCUUACAUCCUUCUUUAGUUGAGAAUCAAAUGCUUAAUUUAAGACUAAUAGAAGGCAUAUGAAUUUAAAAUAUAUAUAUAUAAUUACCUUUGGCGGCGAAGGUGUUGGAACCAAUUCAUCAUCAUAUAGAGACACGUCAUCCUCAAUAGACCCAAUCCUUCCGAUUUGUGAUUCUAUCGGUUAAAAACAUAUAUAUAUAUAUAUAUAUAUAUGUAUAUAUAUACAUAUAUAUAUAAAGGAUAAGUGUGGCGUACAUCAUGUAUAGAGAGAGAGCGAGAGAGAGCGAGAAGAGAGAGAGAUUAGGCUAGAAUAGCUAAUUAAAGUAAAACGCUCUUUUGGCUUAUCAAGUUUUUACCCUGUGGAUGAAAAAUUGUAGGGUUAGCGAUGAAUUAGUCAGUUAGAGUUGAGAUGUCGCCCCUAUGAGUUGAGUGUCCCCACAGGGUUAUAGUAUUUAUCCCAAUGGUUAGAUAGUAUGAAAAGAUGUUGAUCUGAAAAGGCCUAAAAAACUGAGUAGGCAACAGUAAUUGUGCUAAUUAAUAGUACCCAGUCGCAACUCUAUAUCCUAAUAUAUAUAUAUAUUAUGUAUAUUAUAUAUAUAUAUAUAUAUUAUUUAUAUAUAUAUAUAUAUGUGUAUAUAUAAUAUACAUACAAUAUGUAUAUUGUAUAUAUACACAUAUAUACAUUUGUUGCUUUCUUUCCCCUCCACCCCCAAUCUUCUUGUAAUUAUGGUACCAUAUGUAUAAUUAUGUAAUAACAUAAUAUACAUAUACUAUGUAUAUGUAUGUAUAUAUUAUAUAUGACUAUAGUACAUAUAUAUAUUGUAAAUACAUAUAUCAUAUGUAUGUAUAUAUAUGUAUCAUAUAUGUUAUGUAUAUAUAGUAUAUCUAUAUCAUAUAGCAUAUACAUCAUAAUAUUAUAUAUAACAUAUACUAUACAUACAUUAAUGUUAUUAUACAUAUAAUAUGUCUAUAUGUAUAUAUAUAUAUAUUACAUAAUGUAACAUAUAUAUAAUACAUUAUAUAUAUAUAUAAUGAUAUAUAUUACUGUAUCAUAUAUACUAUAUAUCUAUAUGUAUAUAUAUAUUAUGUAUAUAUAUUAUACUAUAAAGGAUAAGUGUGGCGUACAUCAUGUGCAGAUAAUUAUAAAUAGAAUAUGAAUGAAAAGAGUCACCUAUUAUUGAAGACACAGUAAGGGGAAGCUUUCCAUGAGCUACUUUAGUUGAAGCAUCCAAUGGUAGAUUUUUUGGGCUUCUUAAAGAUGGUUCCACAUUGCAUAUCUAUGUAAAAAUAUAAAUACAUAUAUAUAGUUAAUACAUGGAAAGAGAGGAUGCUAGAAAAAAAAAUCAACAACAUUCAAAUCACUCAGAUUCUAUGUC
rnacentral:lncRNA from 1 species